rnacentral:rRNA from 1 species
CACGUAGGGUGCGAGCGUUGUCCGGAAUUAUUGGGCGUAAAGAGCUCGUAGGCGGUGUGUCGCGUCGGCCGUGAAAACCUGCAGCUUAACUGUGGGCUUGCGGUCGAUACGGGCAUCACUGGAGUUCGGCAGGGGAGACUGGAAUUCCUGGUGUAGCGGUGAAAUGCGCAGAUAUCAGGAGGAACACCGGUGGCGAAGGCGGGUCUCUGGGCCGAUGCUGACGCUGAGGAGCGAAAGCGUGGGGAGCGAACAGG